rnacentral:lncRNA from 1 species
AUGAUGCGGUUGAGUUUGUCCUCCCAGCUCAGAGCGUCCUCCUCGAACACCUGUGAGAACAGAGAGACUGCUGGGACACACGGCUCCUCACGAACACACACUCGCUCUCGUUCUCUUCAGUACCUUGUAGUAGGGCGAGAGCUUCAUGGCCGACACACUGUUGAUGUGCUCCUUCACUUUGUUGAACAGAUCGUCCCAUCCUCGAAUCAGACGACACUUGUUCUGAUAGUUGACCAGGUCGAGCUCGUACGAGUUCCACACUUCACGAAUCUGCAGCGAAGAGGAAGGAGUGUUAGAACACACACUCUCACACACGCACUCACUCUCUCACUCUCACUCAUGCAUACUCUCACACACACACUCUCACACACACUUUUUCUCUCUCUCACACACACACUUUUUCUCUCUCACUCACACACUCACUCUCUCACACUCGCACACAAACACACACUCUCACACACACUCUCGCUCUCUCUCUCUCUCACACUUUUUCUCUCUCUCACACACACACACACACACACUCUUUCUCUCUCUCUCACUCACACACUCACUCUCUCACACUCGCACACACACACUCUCGCUCUCUCUCUCACACACACUCACACACACUCUCUCUCUCUCUCUCACUCACACACUCACUCUCUCUCUCUCACACACACACACUCACUCUCUCUCACACACACACACUCACUCUCUCUCACACACACACACACGCACUCAAACUCUCAAACACGCACGCACUCACACUCUCUCACAGACUCUCACACUCUCUCACACACACACACACUCAAACUCUCAAACACACACACACAAACACACUCAAACUCUCAAACACACACACACUCAAACUCUCAAACACGCACACACUCAAACUCUCAAACACGCACACACUCACACUCUCUCUCUCAAACACACACAUUCUCUCACAAACACACACACACUCUCUCUCUCACUCUCACACACUUUCAUACUCACACUUUCACUCAAGCACACUCACUCUCACACAAGCACACUCACACAAGUACACGCACUCUCUCACAUGCACUCUCACUCACUCUUUCUCACACACUCUCACUCGCACACACACACUCACAUAAGCAGUCACACGCACACUCUCACUCACACUCUCACACACACACUCACUCUCACUCACACUCUCACACCUGCUUGAGGAACUCCUCGAGGGCCAUCUCUCCCUGUGCCACCAGCAGCACGUCCUUCACCACCAUCUCGUUCUUCUGCAGGUCCACGUCCCAGAUCUGA